rnacentral:tRNA from 1 species
GGUAGUGCAGUGGUUAAGCAUUUGGCUGCUAACCAAAAGGAUGGUGGUUCAAAUCCACCAGCCA